rnacentral:rRNA from 1 species
UCGUAUGGCAGUGGCGGACGGGUGCGUAACGCGUAAGAACUUACCUUUUGGCGAGGGACAACCGCGGGAAACUGCGGCUAAUACCUCAUAGAGCUGAGGAGCGAAAGGUGAAAACCACCAAAAGAGAGGCUUGCGUCUGAUUAGCUAGUUGGUGAGGGUAAUGGCCUCCCAAGGCGACGAUCAGUAGCUGGUCUGAGAGGAUGAUCAGCCACACUGGAACUGAGACACGGUCCAGACUCC